rnacentral:rRNA from 1 species
GAUGAACGCUGGCGGCGUGCCUAACACAUGCAAGUCGAGCGAUUUACUUCGGUAAAGAGCGGCGGACGGGUGAGUAACGCGUGGGUAACCUGCCCUGUACACACGGAUAACAUACCGAAAGGUAUGCUAAUACGAGAUAAUAUGCUUUUAUCGCAUGGUAGAAGUAUCAAAGCUUUUGCGGUACAGGAUGGACCCGCGUCUGAUUAGCUAGUUGGUGAGGUAACGGCUCACCAAGGCGACGAUCAGUAGCCGACCUGAGAGGGUGAUCGGCCACAUUGGAACUGAGACACGGUCCAACCUCCUACGGGAGGCAGCAGUGGGGAAUAUUGCACAAUGGGCGAAAGCCUGAUGCAGCAACGCCGCGUGAGCGAUGAAGGCCUUCGGGUCGUAAAGCUCUGUCCUCAAGGAAGAUAAUGACGGUACUUGAGGAGGAAGCCCCGGCUAACUACGUG